CAGUGUCCAAUCCGGCUGCUGAACAAGCAGUUAACAAAUUGAAUAAACUUGAGCCGAGAAGGGCCGCGCAGUAGGUUUGUGUUGUAUUUACAAGCUAAGAGGAUGAUCCUAUUCACUGAGUAUGAAUGUCAUGGACUCCGGUGUAACUGGUUUACGAGCUUAAAGUUGUGAUCUGCUAACGAUUAAGAAGUGUUGUAUAUUCUGCAUAGAGCAUUUACAUGACUGGUCGGUGGCUUUACGUAGUGUAACAACGGCACUGAUUGAACUAGCAAGGUCACAGAUGGCAGCAUUAGCAAUGUUCUGUCUCUGUUUAAUAUAUUGUCUUUGUGCUGUAAGAUUUGUCUGAAUUAUUCCUUUAGCGGGUGAGCUAAUUGUUGUGGGGUUUAGUGUGCAUGAUGACAUUGUUGUAGAAGAGACCCGUUGUAGAAGUAGUGAAUAUGAAGGGCUAAUUUUGAGGUGCGGUUUUACAUCUGAUCUUCUAGUAAUCAUCCAACACCUCAUACAUACAGAAUAAGUAGCUACUUUUUGAAUAAAAGGGAUUAAAUCCAUGCCUUUCUGGACUCUGACAUGUUUGGAGAAGUCUGACGUGAUUUUCAAAUUCCGAUAUAAAAUUUUUUUAUUGUUAUAUUUAUUAUGUUUGAGGUGUUUUUAAUUCUGUGUAGAUUCAGGUGUCUUCAGAGACCAAACAGAGCGAGCGAUUCAAAAUGGAUUCCCUCAUGUCCAUUUUGCUUUGUCAAAUCAAGUUAUUCUGCCCUCCAGCUGGUCCAUUACUGCAUUUGAAUGCCAGUAGGCGUACUUGACCCUUGUCAUAAACACUUUAAAAUCCAGGAAUAGAACACAACCACUUUUUACAUGCAUUAUCCAUCCUGUUGUCUUUCCUCUUUCUAAAUGUUGGAGGGAAAGAAGAAAAAUAUCAUGGCUUAACAGAAUGCCUUUUUUUUGCUGUAGUCAAAAGUGCACUAAGUUUUGCAUCAGAUUGAAUGAGUAAAUAAGUUAUACAACGUCUCUCGUGGCUUUCGAGUUACAUCAGAGGCUGUGAAUACAUGAGCGGAGAGAGCGACGUCUGCUGCAGUGAAGGCAAUGAUAGGCAUUCAAAUCCACAGCAACUAUAUCUGUAGGCUUUUGGAACCAAAUUCACGUUGGCCAUCAUUUGUAUGAACUUGUUGCUGUUGAAACGUUUGAAGGGUAUCCAAGGUUUUGUUAUGGUCCUGCAUAUUUCAAAUAAUAGGGAAAUAAACUUGUAACCAAAAAAUGUUACGUCAUAGGUGUCGAUGUAUCAUUUUACAUGCAUUAGAGUAGUUAUUUAGUCUGAAGGUGAGGUGUCUAAAGGCUCUGUGAGGUUGGGGACCCUACAUUUUCAUAACUUUCAGGUAUGAAUGCCCCACAUAGUCGACUGAUCAAAGCAUUAUUUUAUUGGAUCUUUGAAUGUCCAGCACAGUGCUAUGUCAACAAAACAUACUGUGGCUCAACACAUCCUAAGCUGUGGAUCCUCUAUCAGUGGCCCAUGUCGCUAAAGCAGCCGUAAAGAAGAAAUCUCUGUCUGUGUGGAGGGAGUUUUUGUGCCUCCGGUUGGAAUGGAUCUGUCGUGUUGCACAUGUUUAUGUUCUAGAUAGUUUAAUAAAAAGACAAAUAGAUGAUGAUUCUGUGUUUGCCUCCACUUCAGCCAAUAAAAUGAUUCAGCCCACCUCUUGAUUGUCACUUUUCUGUAUUUUAAAAAAGAUUGUAGUUCAUUAUUUGUCAAUGCCCUCCUAUUACUAUUUUAAAUAAGUUACUGUAGCUUAGCUACUGGGUAAGAUGUAGCUUUUUAAUGGAUAUUUUACAACGUGCAGCAGUGACUACAUUUAGAUUGUAAUAGGCGUUAUUCGUAAUUGUAUAAUUCAUUAAAAUUGAGGUUUUACUUUAAAGUAUUAGGUCUCUGCUUAUUAUCAGUGAACUGUUAUUGAUAAAGUCAGACUACGAGAGCAAAGACCCCCCUCAAGAGGAUUUGAGAGAGGAAAACAGAUUCCAGAGAAACCUGUUUCUUGAACCACUUAUCCGGGUUCGGGUCGCAGGGACAACAGCUCCAGCAGGAGACCCCAAACUCCGGGCCACAUCUACCAGCUCUGACUGGGGGAUCCAACUGUAAACAUGAAUUGUCUGAUAUUAGGAGAAAACUGUAUAGCAUUUUUAUUUACCCAAACAAUCACAAAAAAUUAUGUAAAUAUGCAAGCGCAGAAAAAGUCAAAUGUUACGUAAAAAAGCAAAGAAAAACAAUCUGGGAGAGGCUGGUUAGUGUGUGACCUUAAUGGUUGUUCCAUUUCACACAACUUUGUCUCCCAUUAGAUCCGUAAGAGGAGAGACUACAUAACCUGCGUCACCUGAGGGCAGAUGCCGCCUUCACAUCCAUCAUCCCACAACAAAUAGGUGACCCUUAAUAUACAGGUGGCCAUCUCAGGCUUUUACACAGAAAACCUUAAAAGGAAUAGUGGGACUAACUGGAUAGACCAGGAAAAAACAUGUGAAGCAUUAAGAAACACAAAGAGCCAGAAAGUAUAUUAGAGAGCCAGUUCAGGCUGGAGACCAAAACUGAGCUAAAAUUAGGAAGAAUAUCUCUUGUGCUCAGGUCGACACAAACAUUAUUUCAUAUGUUGGAUGGUGUCCACACUACACACACGCUUCUUUAGUGACUGCAUCCAAGCCAGGGUUAAGUACCCUAAAACCUCCUCUGUGGUAGUCCCUGAUACAGGCUGUCUCUAAGACCAUGACACACACAAACACACACACGCCGUCACGAGGAGAAAAACGAUACCAGCAUUGCUGCCGCGACUGGUGAUUAUGUUAAUUCGCCCCAGUGCUUGUCCUCUGGGGAAGAAGCCUUUUCAACCUUCGGAAGUUCAACCAGUGAUCUCCUGCCGUCACUUGACAGCAGCACUGCUGAUUUUGCUGAAAUGUUCCUCUUCAGCUCCUUUUGUUGUAGCGAGCUGCCACUUUCCAGUGCCCCAGGCCAGUGCCCAUUGUGCGUCCAAAGCUGCCACGUCACGUUGAGCAAACAUACGUGUCCAUCAGCUAUGUGGGUGGACGCACCAGAACAAGAACAGGCAGUCUUCUCCUUUUCUGGUGGUGAGCUUUGCACCAAAAAAGUGCACCUCUAAUUGAAAUGCCUCCUUUGAAAACAGUGUUUCAUUUAAGUGGGUACUCAGAGGGAUGUGGAUCUUUGGAGGGAAAAAACGUGACCGAUUCAUCUACUGAAACACAAAUGAUGGGUCGGAAACAAAACCAGCUACAGCUCGCGGAAAACACCUCAUUUGAGGAAAGAGGCCGUCGACACUUGCUAUUUUCAUGUUGUCGUUCCAUGCUGUGAACUGAUGAAAAGAUCUUGCGUGUUAGUCCACUUCUCCAUUAUGCCUGACCUACUUGUCUGCGCCUCUCAGCUCCAAACCUUGUGGUUUCUACUGAAGAUGAUUGUUUGAGAACUGAGCACAGAUGCUCCCACAUGCACUUUUCAGCAAACGCCACUCAAACCGGAAAAGAAAUAGUACAUUUGUUGUGGAAUGCAGCAUAUUAAUCCACAUUUGGGGACCUGGUGAGAAUCUUUUCAUUUGUGUGAUUGAGUCAAAACAAACUACUGUGAUGGUGACUGUGUGACUAACUGAGUAUGCGCACAGUUUAAACUACAAAAAAGCAGUAAAUUUUUUAAAUUCCAUUAACUUUCAGAGAAGUAUGACCAUAUUAUUAAGACUGGGUCUUUGUCUCGACUCAGACAUUUUGUUAUUAUUAAGCAAGCAGGGUGAAGCAACGGGAUCCUUUGACAGUAAAAACAUUCCGACCGCAGUUUAGACAAAUAUGAAAAGAGCCAUUUUCCUCCAGUGACAUAACUGCAUAUUUGGGCUUCAACAGAGUCCUGAUCCUUCUAUCCUUCUACCUCUCUUUACUUCUCCCAAUCAGUGAGAAACGGGCUGCCAGUAUGCUGAACCUUGACAAAACGGUUUCAGAGAAACUGUCAUCUUUGCACCAGCAUCGACCUUCCUUAUUUUAAGUAAUCUCCCUUUUUCGUCAUCACUUGCCGCUCUUUGCUGUCCGUCCCCUGAGGACAAUCACACUUCAAGAGCAGAGAGUGGGAGGGAGGAAACAUUCAAAAUGCAAAUAUGCUAGUGUUUAAAUAUAUCUGGGGGGAAAAGCACACACAUUAAGCCAUAUUUUAUUAAAUAAAAACUAAACUAUUAAAAAACAAACUUCCCUUAUUGUACAAGCAAAGUGUAAAGUUAUGUUUUAUUUAGGGCUGGGCACAUUAACGCGUUAUGAAUACGUUAACGUAGCAAUUCAUUUGAUUUUAUCAUGUGAUAAGUGAUAAAAAGAGGAAAAAGCUUUUGAAGGUGCCGUACCUUUCUCUAUUUGUAACCACAUUACGGCUGUUUUUAUAUAGCUGAGAUUCAAAGGCAAAUCUACAGUCUUUACAGACUUCAGUCAUUUUUAAGCUCGAGAACUUCACCUCACUAACAGGGAACCGUACUACUGAACAUAUGCUGCAUUAUGUUGUUCCUUGAUAAAACACCAAUGUUACUUCUUCAGAAACAGAUACUGCAUGUCAACAAGAUGUUGCUCCAAGAGUGCCUCUUUGUAUUGUUCUGACAUUACUUUAACAUAAAAGGCUGCAAUAGGCUAGUUUUUUAUGUAUUACUUUGUGCAUGAUGCGAUUAAUCGCUGUUAAGCACAGAAAAUCAUGCAAUUCAUUAAUUUAAAAAAAAUGUCAUCUUUGUCCAGCACUAGUUUCAAUACAAAGUCAAUUCAAGCAGUGUAUCUCUAUAAAUAUAUACACUGUGUAUAUGUAUUAAGACUCUUGUGUUUCUUGGUCUCUCCCUCCUACCAGUGAGCUUUUUUGGGGGUGAAGUUUGACAGCUGCUCUGAUUGGCUCAUGGACCGGAGUCCCAGGCACGAGGCCACUGAGCAUGAAUUUCAAGAAAACAGUGCAUGAAUUGUCACGGUGUGGUUCACUUCCUGUCUUAUUUUGUAGUUUUCUGCCACUCGUGUCCCCGGGUAACUUCACUUCCUGCCUUGUCCCGUCAUCCCCUGUGAUCGUCUAAUAGUUUCCACCUGUGUCCAAUCACCUGCACCUCCCUUGUGUAUUUAAGCCAUGUGUCUCCUGUGUCACUUGUCGCGUCAUUGUCUUUCGUCUUGGAUCGCCGUAGUUUCUCGUCUGUGUGCUUUUGCCCCCGGUUCCUGUUUUUUGAGCUUUGACUAUUAAAGUCUUUUGUUUUCUGCAAGUCUGCGUUUGAGUCCUGCCUUCCACCCCGCAACCCUGACAUGAAUGAACAAACUGAAAACUAGAAGAAUGCACUCAGUAAUUUGGCUCCACGGGUUACAUUGUUUGGUCCUCCACAAUGUAUGAAUGUGUUCCUUAAAACUUUAUGGCGUAUGUUUUUAACACUGGAAGUUACAUAUACGCUUGGUUGAUAAAAUUAUGACAGCACUGGUACAUGUCUGCAUACAAAGACUUUUAAAAUGCUGUGGGGUUAUCUGAGAAAUGUCUUUAAUAUUCACCCAAAAAUGGACUGAGAAAAUAUCAGCAUGUUUAAGUCAGCAAUGUGGUCACAUUAUCCUGUCUAAACAAAAUAUUUCAUUUCACUCCACAUAUACAAGCAUUAGAAGAAAGGUCGGAGGAUCGGCAAUGUAUUAAAGGAUUUAUCACAUGCAGUAGUUGUUAGAUAUUUCAUCAGAUAUGUUUUGCUGGACCAAAGUCUCAGUCCACAUAGCUGACAGAAAGACCAACCCUACCAUUUCUAGCCAUGAUGGUUCCUUUGCUAAAAAGUUAGAAUCACAUUAGCUACGAAAAUAGCAAGUCUCAGAUUUGAACGCUAGUUGUAACAUUGCAUUUCUAUAUCAGUGGAUCCAUUGAACAUUGGGUCAGUAAAACAAUGAGUUACCUCCUGUUAAUGAGUGAAAUGGUGGCCCGAAUGAGACACAUCAACAACAAAACAAUUUUACUUAGGAAGCUAAAUCAAAGAUGUAAAUAUAAUUUAAGCUUCACUUCCUCCCUAAUUCUAAAGAGCUUUUAUCCAUAUAUGGAAUCGGGUGUUGAGACUGCAUCUGUUCAUAUCAGGUAAUUGUAUGAGCGUGGGCAACAUCAGGGAUGGUAAAACGUCUUUGGCAGCUCCGGUAUAGGAUCACACAGCAUGGCGCUCGGCCUUAUGCCACCUCUGCAGUCUUCCUAGGCAGUGUCUAAAUUGGAUGUGGCGACAUGAGUCAGAGGGAGCAAUGUGAGCGGACAGUUCAACUUUCCAGGGAACAACACAAUCACGCUUGCUUCAACCACAACCCUGCUGCCAGGCCGGUGGUAUUAAAGAGUCUCCACUCUGACAUCGAAACAGGACAAUAAACCUUAUUUUAGUUUUCAUCAGAGGAAAUGUAUAAUUCUUUGCACACUUAACGCCCUCCAGAAGCACUUUUUCAUCUUUCAGUCUUAAAUGCCUGUGGCCCUCCUUAUGAAUAACACAAAUGAAGAACUCAAGCUUGGACCUCUGCGGAGCAAUGGCUGAUCCAGUCGAUUGUCCAUCAAACAAGUGAACUACACACAACCGGUGUGGGCUAGAAAGGUUCCCGUAGAAUGUUACUUACAAAUCCACCUUCCCCCAUUAAUACUGUAGAUUCUUGGAGUUGGAGCGGCCAUCAUUUUUCUCAGCUACAAUACCCUCACAUGACUGGCGACAGUCAUGGUAUUUGACUUCUCUGGUGCUUUACCAAUCCUGCCUUCUGGAGAAAAGGCGAUGCAUCUACAUGCUCGCACCGGAUCGUGGAGUAUCCAUCAACAUCGUGCUUCUGAAGGUGCUUUACCGGUGUCAUUCCUCUUCACUAUCAACAUACACAACACACAUCUCCGGCAUCUCAACUCUGUUUCCUGCAAACAACGAAGGAGACUCAUCAGAAAACUUUUUGAUGCAUCAUCAAUGGAAAAAACAAGAAGUACAAUAGACUUUUUCACACAUGGCGACAUCCAACAAUAUCAUGAAGCUAGCUCUGUGAGCUCAACAGUUACGAGAUGGGGGGAAAGGAAAGAGGAUGGAAAGAAAGUAGGGUGAAGGACAAGAUCAAAUCCACCUGAAAAAACACCUCUCUUCCUCUCCACGAUGAGCAGUCGCAAACGAAAAGUUAAUUCUGUCAGCAGAUCAUCCUACGUCCAAAAUCUAGACUCUGGAAAAUUAUCCCUUUAAGGGUUUGCAUAUUGCUAGGUUUAAAAAAAGCUUCAACAAAAUCUCAGGCCACACUACAACAAAAUGUAAACAGGAAAUCAAUUGUUUGCUAAGGUAAAAAAUGAUGACCUUGUGGUAUUGUACUCUUUAAUAAUAAAACGAACUGCUUCAUAACUGAGAUAUUUACUUAACAUAUUCCUUAGUGAAGUCAGACAAAUUUUGUUAAUGGUUGUAGAACCUUUAUUUCUUCAGACUUUAUUAAAAAGCUAUCGAUCUCUCUGCCCCCGGAAUCAGGAAACAUUUAUUACCAAAAUAUGUCAGACAUCCAAGGAAUUUGACUUGGCAGUUGACCAGGCGAUUUGGGUAACAUUUGGCUGAAGGUUCUUAUAGGUUCUAUAUGCCUUUAUGCUGAUCUCGCCAAUUCUUGUCAGUGUUUUCCUACAAGGUCACAGACUGCUGCUGGUGGCCCCCCUCCCUAUGGCCGGCCAGGACUGGGUUCGCCCUGCUGCACUCGGCACAGUAGUCUGUGCAGCAGCUCCCCAACCUUGCGGGGUAACAGCCAGAUCACAUGCUACAUAUGUUGAAUCUCCUCUGCUCUCCCUCUCCCCAAAAACUCGCACCUAGGAGGUGAAUCAGCCGCUGCAAAUUUGAUUUUCAUGCAGGAACGAGACUCAGACUCUUCACACCAAUCAACAGCCAUUUUCACUCUUCGCCAAAGGGCUCCUCAAAACUACUGCGGCUCAUAAGAAUGGCAAGGUCUCCAUUCUGUCCUUCAAUAUAGUACAUUUUAAAAGGGUUCUUUGAUUUAGACCUCUAGGGUUCAGCAACAGUCCUGCUGGGUCAUACCAACGGACGAUGGGCGGGAGGGGGUGAAAGAUAGAUCCACGGUCAGCUAGUCCAUAACACAACCAUAUAUAUAUAUAUACUGUACUAACCUAACUAAGUCUAACCUUUCAUUGUGUUUUUCCUUUUUUUCUUUGUCCCUCUUUUGUUUUAGACUUUAUGUAAUCAUAAAUCAAUAUGAUGCAUGUUGGGACCAAUUCCCUCCACAAGUCACAUUUGAGGAGGGUCGCACCCGAUUUCGUGCUGAAAUGACACCUGACAGCAACACAGAGAGAACCCCUUGAAAGGUUUGACAGCAAAUAUGUGAUUGGUUUAGAGACACAGCGCCGCCUCUGUUGGUCGUAUACACCUGGGGGCAGCCAAUCUCUGCUGAUCGCAUAAUGGUGGGAGACCAGCUGAAGCAUAUCUACAUUACGUCUGACAUAAAGGGAGUCUUCCUUCCUGAACUUUCGCUUAGUAAGUAGGGUCCACCUUAAUGUCAGUGUGAAGGCCCCCGUGGAUGCCACCGCGCCCACAAGAUGGUUGCAGCAGCUCUUUGGGCCUAAGAGGUGCCGUGCGCCUUUACGGCUCACGGACAUCACGGUGCAUAUCCACCAAAUACUUCAGAUUAAAUGUGGCAAUCCUUCCCCCACGAGUGUAGUUCUCCGUCCAUGUUCCUCUGCGUGAGCUGUACCAGGCGGGCAGUAGGAUCCCUCUGGGCUCUGUUGGUAUAAGUCAUCCAGUGUGACUGUCUCUGGCAGUCAGCAACGAUGAAAUAGUGCGAAGGUUAUGCACAACGGCCCUAUGAAUUCUGGAUGAUGUGGGUCACUUGGAAUCCCCAUGAACUUGUGACAAGAUUCCUUAGAACUGAUAUUAGAAUCAGAUAUCAGAAUUGAUUCCAUAAAGUCUAACAAAAGAUUUAUUGAGGUUAGAAGAUACAUAUCACCGCAUUUAAACUUCCUGGUUCUGGAAGGAAGGCAGCGGGUCAUCUAAGCUUUACAACAUUCCUUCAGAAACUCAUGGCUGACAACAGAUGCUUUUAUUUCACACAACGCACUGAACCACGAUCAGCUCAAGGAGAGCUGUUUUUUUUUCUUGACGACUGGCUCGCCCUCCUCCACAAGCAGGCAAGAAAUCCCCUCGGGAAUCAGUUAGAUUUAGGGGUGUAACGAUUCAUCCACUGAAUCGAUUAAUCGAUUCAUAUUCCUGUGAUCCAACUGAAUCGAUCUGUGCUCCACAAAUCGGCAUUCCGGACGACAUAUAUCGAUUACAAAUCGAUUGAAAUGGUGCAUAAUCGAUUGUAUCGAUACUUGGAAACUGCACAUUGGAUUUGAGUACAAAAACGGUGUGGAUACGUGUUUGUUUUUUAAUACUUUAGACACGUUAAACGUUACUGGAUUCAGCAUGCCUUUCUGCGACGUCAUUGGUACGCAGCGGCAAUAACCACAAACAACAAAACAUAGCGUGGAGGAGACCACUGCGAGCGAGACAUUUACAAACCAACUUAUCGAUCCAGCGCGUGGAAACAUUUUGGCUUUUGCAAACACGGAGGUGUUCUAAAUAAGUCGCUCGCUGUUUGUAGAAUAUGUAGAAGCCAAAUAAAAACCACGGAAACACGACAAAUCUUUCCGGCCAUCUACUAAGGCGCCGUGGGAUUAAACAACGGCGACAGUCAGGACCUCUAGCAGCGUCACCGCUGCAGCAGCAGCAGGUAACUCAGCUCUGCAGACACCUCAGGUCUCGCCAGCACCAAACCCAACAUCACAGUAACAAGUUUAUCUGUAAAGACAUGCGACCCUACAAUGUGGUUGAAAAUCUGGGGUUCUGUGGAUUGAUCUAAACAUUGGGUAAUUAUUGUGUAAUGUUUACAUUGAAAAUGGUUGCACAAUAAAAGGUUAAUACAUUUGCCAUUAAUUGUUGUUUGCUUGUUUAUAAUAUCCAUAAUUAAUUUAAACCGGAUUUCCUUACAAGAAACAACAGGGAUCUCAGAAACUUUGUUCUAAAUGAACGUUCUAAAUGAACCCAGAUCGUCCAUGAAUCGAAACGGCAACCAUGAAUCGCGAUUCAAAUCGAAUCUUUGUAAAAUGAAUCGUCACACCCCUAGAUAGAUUAUAUAAUCUGAAGUCAGUGUCAGGGUCAAAAAACCCUGUGUUGAGUAGUCUAAAUAUGUAUAUCCUGUAUAUUUAUAUAUAUGUUUUCCUUCAAAAAGCAUUGAACAGAUGGCUCUUAAUUAGAGUUCAAAAGAUAAUGGAUCACCAUUAUCAUUUACAUCUCAGGCCUCACAGCCUUUCUUGUACCAAGGCAAAGCUCUCAGAAGGGAUUGUGGGUGCCGGUGAACAAUGAAAAGCUAAUUUACUUCCAUGCACUGUGUAGCCUCCCUUUGCAGAAAAUGAAUGUCAUUACCCUGCUUAACCUCUUAACCUGUCCUUUGUGUAUUAAAUGAAGCCGCCUGAGAUCUGAGCAAUUUCAAUAAAGCAUACUUUGAAAUGAAUUUGAUAUUUUUCUUUGUAGUGAACAAAACAAGACUAAUAUAUUUUUGAUUUACACGUCAUAUUAAUUUCAUAAAUGCCUGCGUAAACUGCCGGGGGAAAAAAGCACUUCUUUGAAAUGAAUUCCUUUUUAUAUUGUUGUUUUCACGCUUGAAAGUAAAAUCAAUUGUAACAUUUAUCUUUUAUGUUGCAUAAUCAAAUAAAUAUACUCUAUUUAUUUCAUUUUUGUGGUCCUUUACAGGCAUCCAAAAAGGCAAUCCUGUAACGUCUCGUUAGCCCCAUAUUAGUGUGUGUGUGUGUGUGUGUGUGUCUCUGACAAUGCCCUGUAUCUCGUUAAUGACUGUGACUGCCCCUUUUCUGGGUUUUGUUCGGUCGGUGGAGUUGUUUUGAUUUUUGUUCAUCAGUAAAGAACCACCUUUUGUUUCAUGUUCAAACUGGUCUCCAGUGUCAGUCUCUGCAUUUGAGUCCUCACCCAGCAGUGAACCGUGACAAAUCCAAUUCAUAUUACAUAUAUAUGUAGUUUUAAGUCAUGAAAAAUCAGUUGUCUAAGAGGAAUGUUCUUCUCAGGCUGUGAAUAGGUUGUGAUGUCCUCUAUCCAGACCCCUCGUAUGACCCUCUUAACGAUGAGUAAGAGCAACCUUUUAGCCACUCUUUAUCCCUCCCGUUUCCUUUUAGGCCAUUCAAGCGUCAGUUAUUGAUAGUUUCUUUAGGCAUACAUUUUUUGAUGUUUUAUUUCUCUCUCUAUAUAUAUAUCUAUACAUUAUAUAUGUAUGUAUAUGUGGCAAUCGGGAGAUUUAGUUGAAGAAGUUGUACUUAUUAUCAGGUACCAGCCACCUUGGUAAUUCCACCCAAGGGUUAAAUCUUGUCCACACAGUAACAAGUCUUUAAGACACUCAGAUCUGGCAGAUCCAAAAAGCCAGAGUGGGUCCUGAGAACCCCCUGUUGGGCGGCGCCAUAGAAUAGCUUGUGAGACUCUGUCGGCCUGCGGUAGACCUGUCUUUAGGUGAAUCAGAACAGCAGCGUUCCUCUUGAACAGUCUCCGAUCAGGCAAUAUCCAUCUGCUCCAGAAGGCGGUAGGAGGUCAGGUAAUGCUGCCAAGUCACAGAUCACGCUUUCCAAUUCUUACCAAUUCUUCUAAAGAUUUGAAUUCAUAAAUGAACGCAUAAUCUCUUUAGAAAGAGUAUUUUAUACACUGUUGUUCAAUUGUAUUUUCAAUAACUCCAAAGAAGUGAUCAACGCUCCAUCAUUUCACGGCUGCGUUUGAAGUGCGAACAAUGUCGCCACAUUUAGCAGGGACGUUUUCCUCUGCACAGUUUUACUUCCAAUGUAAAAAGCUCUCUCCAUCCUCAACUACCGUCUCGCUCUCUGCAUCUAACUGACUGCAGCACGCGGCGGCUUCAGGGGUCAGGGGUCAACGCACACCGGAAGCAAACAAAGCUGCGAUAACUGGGUUAAAACAUAUUGUCGCAUUCAUCUCAGCCACAGUAAUCUACUGCGUUCACAUUGACAGCUGUAAUAUAUGUUAUUUGUUUAGUUGCCCAUCGUCUCACUGUCCAAUGUUACGCACCAAGCGCCAUGUCAAGUUCCAUAUUUUGGCAAUAAAUGUUCCUGAUUCCUGGUAUAAAUAUUUAUAUAUAUCCAUCCAUCCAUCCAUCGUCAAACCGCUUAUCCUGCACACAGGGUCGCGGGGGGGCUGGAGUCCAUCCCAGCCAACUUCGGGCGAUAGACAGGGUACAUCCUGGAUUGGUCGCCAGCCAAUCGCAGGGUAUUUAUAUGUAUAAUAUUUUUAAUUUUUAACUUUAACUAUUCUCUUAUUUUAUACUAACCCAUAGCCUUAUUCUACUAACCCAUAGCAUUUCAUUUUAUUUUAUUUUAUCACUUGUCUACUGCUGUCUUGUUUUCUAUUGUUACACUGUCUACUGUCACAUAGCAACUGCAAAGACAAAUUCCUUGUAUGUUUGACAUAUUUUGGCAAUAAAUGCUUCCUGAUUCCUGAUAUACGUGUUUUUGCUAUAUUUGUAAUUGAGGAAAGUAGUCUCAGAAUGACUUGAGGAAGAAGAAAGAAGAAAAAGUGAUUGGUUGGUACAUCUAUCUUGUCUUAUAAAUGAGCAUUAUUAGUAGUCAAUUAACGUAAUAUAAAUGAAACAAGAUAAUUCUAGACAAAAUAAGCAAUCAUUAUAACAAUAGGAUGAAUUCAUUUUUUCCCAUUUAUGGAAGAGUCGUGUAAAUUCCAAUAAUCUGUUAUUUAAAUUGACAGAUAAAGUGUCAGUACCAAGAAAUACACAGACACAACCCUUCAUUCAGCUUCUACAAAUUGAGAAACAUGGCCCAAUGUGGAAGAAGAGAGACAGAAGGGGGCCAGAAAUUGGAUUAGCCAGUUGGAUGUGAUGAUAAGCCAGUGAGGAUGGCCAACGCGGCGGCGCCUCCGUGGCCUUUCCGAUAACAGAGCUAAUCCAUCCAUCUUAGCCUCCUGGCCUCUGCUUUGAUUCCCCUCAUCAAACACCCCGCCGCCCUAUUGUUAGCCAUGUUUGCUGCCCGUCCCGCUGCGGUGCUCGGGCCAUAACUCUUCACUCUGCCACGUGGCGGGCAGGUCAACUAUUAAUUUAGGUGAGUGCCACUGUGUCUGUACCUGCUGUUCAGCUCAGAUGAAUGAAAGAGACGCGCCGGCUGCCAUCUUUCACCUGCCUGGCGCCCUCCCUCCUAUGGGCCCCCCUCACACGCGCCUGUCCUCCACGAGUGCCCACCGUGACCAACAAGACAGAUUGCCAUAUUACGGCAAAACUAUCAGCGGGGCAUUUACAGUGUCCAAGAGUUAAGGCGGAAUCAUAAGUCAACGCUAACAGACAGCUAGCCAUUCAGGGCAGGGGGCCGACGGAGAGGGGGGGGAGUGGCAGGGUGGGCACUGAGAAGAUCAUGGCUGUGUCUUUACUCCAGAGGUGUUCCAAAAAGUGAGAUUAAGGGGUCAAACUUGUACUAGGAAGUUCUGCUCCAGUAAAUUCUGCUCCCACUGAGUCGUAAAAUCUCUCUGCUGGAUCGUCAAAUCAAACGGAGCAAGAAUUCAGUAAAAAAAUAAAGUUUACAUUGGUAUAUACUAGAUUAGGCAGUGAGACAAUGGACAACAAUUUACAAUUUAACUCCACAGUGUAAAAUAGAAGGCUGUAGGCUAGAGGGAUAUAGAAUACCAAUUAAAUACUGUGGGGAAUGCAAAAAAGAAUAAGGUGAACCUUGAGAAGUGGAUUAAAAAAAACCUGCAACUAUCCACAAACUUCUAGUAAGAUUCUUGUUCUGUCUUUAGUCUAAAACAUAUCGCAGGACUGCAAAAACAAGGGAAACAUUCGAGCAACAACAAAGAUAAACCCUUAAAGCAGGACGUAUUAUGUCAUGAUAAAUAAUUCAAUUCAUUUGAUUUAGUAUGGCCCAAAACUGCAAAUUACAAAUUAGCCUCAGAGGGAAUGAAAAAGGGAAGAAGCCUCAGAGGAGGAUCCCUCUCCCUGGUUGGACAGACUACAUGUGGACAGAAUGAACUAUAAAUAAAUAUAUAUGUAAUAUAUGUAAAUAUACAUACAGUAACACUUAGUUAGUAAUCAAAAUAUUGUUGCAAAUUCUUGGAAUCAAAUUUGCCCACUUUACAGCGUGAGCCGUGUGAGCAGCUGUGGAGUGGUGGAUGCAUUUUUAAUUAUAGCUAAAUAAGUGUGAAUGGACAAUUGGACGGCAGAUCGCCUCCUCUGAUUUCCUUAAUCAGGCUGCAGUGUUGUUGCCUUUCUUUGGUCGUUAGAUGCUUGUAAUCAUCAGACCGAAUGCGGCCCGAAUUCUGCUCCGUUACUUAGCAUCAGUUAACAUAGCGGCCACAACAUCCAGCGGACCAGUGAUGACUUCAUCAACCCAAACUGGAGGAGUCACUGGUUAGUUUAGCGAAAUUGAACUAAAGCAGAAGACCAAGGCAUGAUAAAUGAAGAGCGACUUUCAUCAAUGGAUGUGGCACUUCACGGUUCCUCGUCUGUGAAACACCCCCCAGGUAGCUGCUCCUGACAGCUGCUCCCUUGUUUGAACAUCAAUUUCAUUUUCGGCGCUCCUUUGCCUCUGCCCUGCCAAAUCCCACAACAAUUACCAAGCAAAUAAAGUGUUUGUGGAGGAAUGCUGCUAAUCAAACGUGGCCUUCAGGGCUGCUUGUGUACAGUAAUGUGUCGAUGCAGUGGGUUUGCAGGCUAAUAGUGUGUCACCGGCUUACCGCCGACUGGCACAAGGCUGGUGUGACGUCUUUUCAGGUUUGGACUGCUAAACGUUUUGUUCUGAAAGGGGAAACCUUCUUUCCUCCCCGGUAAGCUCUUCACUGAGAAGCUGCUCAUACACUAUCGUUGCCAUUUUGACUUGGGGCUGUUUGGGUGUUUUGCAUUGAUAUACUCUCGGUUCAUUUUGCUUCCAUGAGAGGAUUAUGGAAGAUGUUGUUCAAUCAGACAGACAACCGUGCAGCUGUAAACAGCUGUUAUUCCAGCCCAAUCAAGUCUGACAUGUCAGACAGAGAUAAAAGAUCAACUAAUGGAUCGACCAUGGACACAUGUGUUCCAGCUGUGACGACACUGUGCCAUUGUGACUUCAAUCUAGACACACAAAGUUCAUAAGAUCAAUUUUCCUUCGACGCACAUUGUGAUAAUAUAAAAGACCCUUUUGCACCCAACCGGCGCCAAUUUUAGCUCCAAGCCAUAACAGGAUUAUCCUGCACUCAUCACAAACAUACGAAUGCGUCACACUGUUCCAAACAUUAGUCUUGGCAACAAUCUGCACUAAUCUGUUUGAAAAUAUUCCAAACAACGCAACAAGUCAUGAAAUAAGAUAUGCAAAUGAGUCCAGAAAAUGUGCUCACAGCGGCUCUAACGUUUCCUCAGCGAAGCAACAAGCUAACAAAGGAAACGGCUAACAAGCUGACAAACCGUCCCAUGACCAACGCAGAAACAGUCCCCAAGCCUCCAGCAUAUCAAUCACAGAGGGAUCUUCCCUUUUGACGUUUUGAACAAAAUAAUGAAAUUAAUCCGUUUUUUAGCAAGAUACUGCAGCCACCACGAACCAUUUUAGCGCUUUCCACCCACGUUUUAGGGGGUUUUAUUUUCCAAUUUAUUCUAUUAUGGCUUCUGAGUGGCUAAGGAAGCUGUCGAUCAUCAUCCGAGGGUUCGGAUCUAAUGAGAUCAGACGAGUUGAAAAAGUGGUUGAAUCAGUCGAGUCAGCAAUUUCAUUUUAAGAAAGAAAUCAACAUUUGAACUGCUCCCGUUUCCCUGCCUUGAGGCCUUCACAAAAGCCUGUUCUUGAGUAGUUUUCAGUAUUCGAUCACCGUGAAACUUUCCACUCUUACUGUUCACACACUGCGCACUCACGUAGAUGUAAUUUUAACCUGGUGCCUCCAUGUUUCAAAAAUGUAAACUGCUACUUUGAGUGCACAGUGGUAUGGAACGCUGUAGUCAAUGUGAACAGCAACUCUACGUCAUCCCUGAAUAAUGCAUGACUCCCUUUCAUCUACCCGUAUUAUAAUAGUUACGAUAUCGCAGAUUUAUAUUCUGAGUAUAUAUAUAUUCAUUAAUAUACUAAUUUGUUUGAAUAAGAUAUCCUUAUUAUGUUAAACUGAAAAUAAAUAAUAAAUGAAUGUUUUAACUUAACGUUUGACACACUUUUCUUGUUUGCUGAAACUGAUUGUCUGGCGCUUCUAAAAAAAAACAAAUCCAUGCGCCGCCACUGCUGAGAGGUCUGUUAGUGAAUCUUUUCCAGGCAAUGCACAAUUAUUUUUUUGGUCUGUAAUAGUGAUAUACUUUUUCACCAGUAACAUAUAAACAGAUUUUUACGCAUCACACACUCACAGGGGUUCUUCUUUAUCCCCACAGAUGUCCAGAUAAACAAAGUAGUUACAGAGUUAUUACACUUUUUAUCAUGGUAUGUUAUUUUUGGCCAAAAACAACAUUGGGUUUCAACCGUUUAAAAGUUUUUUUUUAACCUUUAUAACUCGUUACUGGGAUUUAGCGCAUUGGGAAACCAUCUCAGGGAAAUACUGAUCACUCUAUUGGACAUUUAUAUGUAAACAAGACAACCAUUAGGGUUUGUUUUGUGAUUUAAUAUGUAGCUUAAUGGAGGGUAGAAACCAUCCAACCAUCCAUACCAAGUACUUUUUUAAAGAAGUAACUAUGGUUCUUGGUUUAAACCCUUUUCCUGUGCAGAGGAAACUGUUACGGAGGAUUAGACAUGACCCAAGAGUGGACAUGGAGACGGCAGAGUGGGUGAGGCAACGGGUUGGAUGAGCAGGGGAGGGAGGAGGACGGGGGCUGGAAGGCUGAAAGGCUGGAAGGCCGGCUGGCAGAGGAACGGGUUGGAUGAGCAGGGGAGGAGGAUGGGGGCUGUAAGGCCGGCUGGGGGAAGAACAGGUUGGAUGAGCAGGGGAGGGAGGAGGAUGGGGGCUGGAAGGCCGGCUGGCGGAGCAACGGGCUGCUGAUGGGUGGAGCAGAGGAGGUCAGUGCGGGUGGGGAGGUUGCUGCGCUGCGUCGUAGCCUCUGGCAUCCUACGCGAGGUGUACUCGCAGGUGUUUAGGGAAGCCGACUCCACUCCUCAUUCCCUAAACACCCAGUUGUCCUUUCCUAACUCCUCAUGAAUUAUCCUUACCCCGGGACGUUUUCCACACAGGUCAAGGAAUGGCAGGUAGGAAUGGCGGUUAGGAAUAGGCGUUAGGAAUGGUGGUUAGGAAUAGGCGUUAGGAAUGGUGGUUAUGAAUAGGCGUUAGGAAUAGGCGUUAGGAAUGGCGGUUAUGAAUAGGGUUAGGAAUAGGCGUUAGGAAUGGUGGUUAGGAAUAGGCGUUAGGAAUGGUGGUUAGGAACAGGCGUUAGGAAUGGUGGUUAGGAAUAGGCGUUAGGAAUGGUGGUUAUGAAUGGGCGUUAGGAAUAGGCGUUAGGAAUGGCGGUUAUGAAUAGGCGUUAGGAAUAGGCGUUAGGAAUGGUGGUUAGGAACAGGCGUUAGGAAUGGUGGUUAGGAAUGGUGGUUAGGAAUAGGCGUUAGGAAUGGUGGUUAGGAACAGGCGUUAGGAAUGGUGGUUAGGAAUGGUGGUUAGGAAUAGGCGUUAGGAAUGGUGGUUAAGAAUAGACGUUAGGAAUGGUGGUUAGGAACAGGCGUUAGGAAUGGUGGUUAGGAAUAGGCGUUAGGAAUGGUGGUUAGGAACAGGCGUUAGGAAUGGUGGUUAGGAAUGGUGGUUAGGAAUGGUGGUUAGGAAUAGGCGUUAGGAAUGGUGGUUAGGAACAGGCGUUAGGAAUGGCAG
ensembl:lncRNA